AGCAUAGAAGAAGAGAGGAGGAGAAGACGAGAAGAAAAAAAAAGUAAAAAAAAAAAAAUAAUAAUAACACAAAGCUCUCUCUGUGUCAAUGGUUGAUUUAUGGAAAUCUCUCAUUUAACAGAAAAGGAAUUCCUUUGAAGGGUCUUUGUUAUAAGGUGAGAUGCGAUCUUUUUUGUUGAUUGUCCGGACUUAAUCUGGACCUUGGAUUUGAUCGUUGACGAGAAAGAGAUAGAGCAAGAGUCAGAAG
rnacentral:misc_RNA from 1 species